UACGGAGGGGGCUAGCGUUGUUCGGAAUUACUGGGCGUAAAGCGCACGUAGGCGGAUUUGUAAGUCAGGGGUGAAAUCCCGGGGCUCAACCCCGGAACUGCCUUUGAUACUGCGAAUCUCGAGUCCGGAAGAGGUGAGUGGAAUUCCUAGUGUAGAGGUGAAAUUCGUAGAUAUUAGGAAGAACACCAGUGGCGAAGGCGGCUCACUGGUCCGGUACUGACGCUGAGGUGCGAAAGCGUGGGGAGCAAACAGGGAU
rnacentral:rRNA from 1 species